rnacentral:sRNA from 1 species
AAGAUCAAUGAAUCCUAAAGCACUAUCAUGUCGUUGUAGUAUUUUAGGUGUAAAUCCAAAUGGGUGUGAUGCAAAUAAAUGAGAUGUGAUCAGAAGUCACGAAGUCAAGUGAAGCAAUAACAGUUUUGGGGUUUCUAACAGUCCUAAGCGAACAUGCAGAAAACAAAAACAAUAACAGAAUUACUAAAUUCACUCGACCACAACAGGCUGAUGCCAGAAGCAGGAUGCUGUCGAGUAACAGGUCGAGUAACAGACAAGAUAUGAAACAGCUUAUUCGACUACACAGUCUAUUGCCAGACACUGGGUGUGGUCGAGUAUGCUGGUCGAGUAACAGACACGAAACGAGACAACUGCACUCGACUGCACAAUCUGUUGCCAGACAUUGGGUGUGGUCGAGUAAGUUGGUCGAGUAAUUGCAAAAACUAUGAAACAGGCAAUGACAACGAUUAAGUGAUAACGAUAAAACAGAGAAAUCAGAUAGACAAGAAAUUCCUAAGGAUGGGGUAAUCGAAUAGAGUGGUAUCCUAGCCUAUUCGAAUGGUUAACAAGCACAAUCAAGCUAUCCCUAGACAACAGGUUCAACAACAGAUCAAUUCACUCCCGUGAUAGAAAUCCUCAAGCAAAGCUAGCCCAGACUAAUUCCCAUCAAUGGAAUCUAACUAUGCAGGAAAUAAGAACAGAUUGAUAAAGUCAAUAAACGCUCUAAACGGCCAAUCCCUUGGGAUAGAGACGAAUAUCUCAGGAACUAGUCCUGAAGGGAUUCAAUCAAUUCUAACACUUAACCAUUCUACAGACUACGGAUUCCACAACUACUCUAUCCCAUCCUUAAGAAUUCUAAGUCACUACUCACACAACAUGCUCAAAGACAUAAACGCAGGUAAAUGAUAAUAUUGCAUAAGUGAAGAGAUAAAGAAUAGAUGACAGGUGAAAUCAAAUGCGGAAUCUGAAUAACUUGGAAAAAUCUCGAAUUACAGGUUGUAGAAGCAAAAGCGGCGCAGCUAGAGUAAAAAAGAAAAUAAAACUGAAGCAAAAACUCAAUGUCGACUGGAUGUUUCAGGACAGAACCCUAAGACGCCCAAUAACCUAAUCGCCCAAUAACCUAAUCGCCCAACCCAUAGAGUGAUAA